GCACUGAUGACGAGUCUCAAACAGGACGAAACAGCUGUCCAGUGC
rnacentral:hammerhead_ribozyme from 1 species